UACGGGGGGGGCAAGCGUUGUUCGGAAUUACUGGGCGUAAAGGGCGCGUAGGCGGCCUGUUAAGUCACACGUGAAAUCCCUCGGCUCAACCGGGGAACUGCGUGUGAUGCUGGCGGGCUUGAAUUCGGGAGAGGGAUGUGGAAUUCCGAGUGUAGAGGUGAAAUUCGUAGAUAUUCGGAAGAACACCAGUGGCGAAGGCGGCUCACUGGCCCGUUACCGACGCUCAGGCGCGACAGCGUGGGGAGCAAACAGG
rnacentral:rRNA from 1 species